rnacentral:rRNA from 1 species
GACGAACGCUGGCGGCGUGUUUAACACAUGCAAGUCGAACGGAAAGGCCCCCUUGUGGGGUACUCGAGUGGCGAACGGGUGAGUAACACGUGAGUAACCUACCCUUGACUUUGGGAUAACUUCAGGAAACUGGGGCUAAUACCGGAUAGGAGCUCCUGCUGCAUGGUGGGGGUUGGAAAGUUUCGGCGGUUGGGGAUGGACUCGCGGCUUAUCAGCUUGUUGGUGGGGUAGUGGCUCACCAAGGCUUUGACGGGUAGCCGGCCUGAGAGGGUGACCGGCCACAUUGGGACUGAGAUACGGCCCAGACUCCUACGGGAGGCAGCAGUGGGGAAUAUUGCACAAUGGGCGGAAGCCUGAUGCAGCAACGCCGCGUGCGGGAUGACGGCCUUCGGGUUGUAAACCGCUUUCGCCUGUGACGAAGCGUGAGUGACGGUAAUGGGUAAAGAAGCACCGGCUAACUACGUG